rnacentral:rRNA from 1 species
CCUACGGGUGGCAGCAGUGAGGAAUAUUGGUCAAUGGGCGCGAGCCUGAACCAGCCAAGUCGCGUGAGGGAAGACGGUUCUAUGGAUUGUAAACUUCUUCUGUCGGGGAGCAAAAGACGCCACGUGUGGCGUUCCGAGAGUACCCGUAGAAAAAGCAUCGGCAAACUCUGUGCCAGCAGCAGCGGUAAUACGGAGGAGGCGAGCGUUAUCCGGAUUUAUCGGGUUGAAAGGGUGCGCAGGCGGAAGAUCAAGUCAGCGGUAAAAUUGAGAGGCUCAACCUGUUCGAGCCGUUGAAACUGGUUUUCUUGAGUGAGUGAGAGGUAUGCGGAAUGCGUGGUGUAGCGGUGAAAUGCGUAGAUAUCACGCAGAACUCCGGUUGCGAAGGCAGCAUACCGGCGCUCAACUGACGCUCAUGCACGAAAGUGUGGGUAGCGAACAGGAUUAGAUACCCCAGUAGUC